CGUAGGGUGCGAGCGUUGUCCGGAAUUACUGGGCGUAAAGAGCUCGUAGGCGGCUUGCCGCGUUGUUCGUGAAAAUUUACCGCUCAACGGUGAACUUGCGGGCGAUACGGGCAGGCUAGAGUACUGCAGGGGAGACUGGAAUUCCUGGUGUAGCGGUGAAAUGCGCAGAUAUCAGGAGGAACACCGGUGGCGAAGGCGGGUCUCUGGGCAGUAACUGACGCUGAGGAGCGAAAGCGUGGGGAGCGAACAGGAUUAGAUACCCUGGUAGUCCACGCCGUAAACGGUGGGCGCUAGGUGUGGGUUUCCUUCCACGGGAUCCGUGCCGUAGCUAACGCAUUAAGCGCCCCGCCUGGGGAGUACGGCCGCAAGGCUA
rnacentral:rRNA from 1 species